AUACGGAGGGUGCAAGCGUUAUUCGGAAUCACUGGGCGUAAAGGACACGUAGGCGGGAAGCCAAGUCUGAUGUGAAAUCCUACAGCUUAACUGUAGAACUGCAUUGGAAACUGGUUACCUAGAGUAUGGGAGGGGGAGAUGGAAUUAGUGGUGUAGGGGUAAAAUCCGUAGAUAUCACUAGGAAUACCUAAAGCGAAGGCGAUCUCCUGGAACAUUACUGACGCUAAGGUGUGAAAGCGUGGGGAGCAAACGGGAUUAGAAACCCUUGUAGUCC
rnacentral:rRNA from 1 species